CGCGAAUGCAUUGGGACGGAUUCCGAUGUUUUUAGACACAUUUACUAGGAUAAUUCUGGGAAAUCCCUUAUCUUUCUAUUGUGUUGCUAGUGUUUUAGAGAGUUUAAUAGUACCUGAUAGUCGUGAUAAUUGUGUCAAAAGGACAAAUUCUAUUUUUUAGAAGGCUCACCAUGCUCUGAUUGCCAAUUAGCAGGCCCAACUGUUCAGGACUGGCAAUCAGAAGGCUCCCCUGGCUCUGAUUGCUAAUCAGAACGCCCACCUGUGCAGGACUAACAUUAAGAGGGAUCCUCAGUUCAGGGCUGGAAAUCAGAAGGCUCACCUGGCUCUGAUUGCCAAUCACGAGGCCCACCUGCUCAGGACUAACAAUCAGAAGGCCCACGUGUUCAGGACUGGCCAUCAGAAAGUUCACCUGACUCUGAUUGCCAAACAGCAGGACCACCUGUUCAAGACUGCCAAUCAGAAGGUUCACCUGGCUCUGAUUGACAAUCAGUAGGCCCACCUACACAGGACUAACAAUCAGAGGGUUUUCUUGGUUCUGAUUGCCAAUCAGCAGGCCCACCUAUUCAGGACUAACAAUCAGAAGGUUUUCCUGGCUCUGAUUGCCAUUCGGAAAGCCCACCUGUUCAGGACAAAGAAUCAGAAGGCUCAACUGUCUUUGAAUGUCAAUCAGGCGGAUGACAUGGCUCUGACUGGCAAUCAAGAGGCUCACCCGACUGGCUCUGAUUGCCAAACAUUAGGCCGACCUGUUCAAGACUGACAAUCAGGAUGCUCACCUGCCUGUCUCUGAUUGCCAAUCAGCAGUACCAACUGUUAUGGACUGGCAAUCAGAAGGCUCACCUGACCCUGAUUACCAAUCAGCAGGACCACCUGUUCAAGACUGGCAGUCAGAAGGUUUACUUGGCUCUGAUUGCCAAUCAGCAAGCCUACCUGCUCAGGACUAACAAUCAGAAGGCUCUACUGUCUUUGAAUGUGAAUCAGGUGGCUCACUUUACUCUGACUGGCAAUCAGGAAGCUCACCUGCAUGGCUCUGAUUGCCAAUCAUUAGGCCCACCUGUUCAGGACUGAAAAUCAGAAGGUUUUUCUGGCCCUGACUGCCAAGCAGAAGCCCCACCUGUUCAAGACUGGCAAUCAGAAGAUUUACCAGGUCAUGAUUGCCAAUCAGAAGGCCCACCGGUUUAAGACUAACAAUCAGAAGGCUCACCUGACUUUGAAUGGCAAGCAGGCGGCUCACUUGGCUCAGACUGUCAAUCAGCAUGCUCACCUAACUGUCUGUGACUGCCAAUCAGUAGGCACACCAGUUCAGGACUGGCAAUCAGAAGGCUCACCUGGUUUUGAAUGACAAACAGGCAGCUCACUUGUCUCUUAUUGGCAAUCAGGAUCCUCACCUGCCUGUCUCUGAUUGCCAAUCAGUUGGCAAACCAGUUCAGGACUGGCAAUCAGAAGGGUCACCUGGUUCUGAUUGCCAAUCAGCAGGACCACCUGUUCAAGACUGGCAAUCAGAAGGUUUACCUGUCUCUGAUUGCCAAUCAGCAGGACCAUCUGUUCAAGACUAACAAUCAGAAGGCUCACCUGGCUCUGAUUGCCAAUCAGGAGGCCCACCUACUCAUGACUAACAAUCAGAAGGCUUACCUGUCUCUGAAUGCCAAUCAGGCGGCUCACUUGGCUUUGACUGGCAAUCGGGAGGCUCACCCGCCUGGCUUUGAUUGCCAAUCAGUAGGCCCACCUGUUCAGGUCUGGCAAUUCAGAAGGCUCACCUGACUCUGAUGGCCAAUCAGCAGGACCACCUGUUCAAGACUGACAAUCAGAAGGUGUACCUGGCUCUGAUGGCUAAUCAGCAGGACCAUCUGUUCAAGACUAACAAUCAGAAGGCUCACCUGACUUUGAAUCCCAAACAGGCGGCUCACUUGGCUCUUACUGGCAAUCAGUAUGCUCACCUGCCUGUCUCUGAUUGGCAAUCAGUUGGCAAACCAGUUCAGGACUGGCCAUCAGAAGGCUCACCUGGCUCUGAUUACCAACUCAAGUGUAACGGGAAUGUUUCAACUUUCCGAGUUGAUAGCUAGCAUGUGAAAAUACCGGGGGGUUAAGGUGAAACCUUCAAAGUGGAAUCACUGAAGGCGUUCUUCAGAGUAGUGCCAUCUGCUGGAUGUAGAGGUGUACUUGCCCACUUGUCCCCAGUGCAAAGUCACAAGUUUUUGAAGGACAGGUUCCAAGUGUCUUCUGGUGAGGACGCUUGACAUGAAAGUGGAAGUUUAACGAGCGACGUCGGAGCUUCCACGGGUGGGCGGAACUACUGGCGAGGUGUGGAGCUGCCAUUCCAACCGCAGUAAAUCUUCCUCCUGGAGGAACUUCCAUGCAGGUCAGUGAGCCUCCCUUUCCUCCCCGUUUGCCCUCAGGAGGAAAAAUCUGGACCAGGAUCUCCUUGGCCUUCUUGCAGGUCACAAGUUGUCAUUUUUCAACGAUUCUCCGGGGACCUCCGCUGUGAUUUAUGCACACCACCAGAAUGAUGUUGCAAUGGCUGCUGAGAUGUGAUCACAUGAUAGGCUGAGCUAUCAAAGUGACAACUCACAUUCUUUUUGCUUUCUCCUCUCGGGCAAAUUCCUCACACACUAUCUCACUUUUCUCCUCACUUUUCCCCUUCAAGAGACAGUCUCAUCUAUGCAACACGAUCUGUGGAUCUCCCACUGGUGGUCUCGUGUGGACUUACACUAACCUCCAAGAUCGCACCUGCGCGCGCCACUCCUGCAAAAGCUGCACCGGUGCACACCUGCAUUCAAUCAUGAGCAGAACACCUGCCUUCUUAAACCAGCACAACCUGCUAUCCGGCGCCAGAACGUAGCUACCUGUCCUGUACGCCCGCCUCCGUUCCCACGUCACAAGCUGUGUGUCUCGUCUCCCCGUGUUCCCUCUGGUUUCCUGGCUGCAUCUUGGAUCUCAACCUCUCGCGUAGACACGGACUUUUGACGCCUCGCUAUUGCCCCAACUCGCUGCUUGGGCUCACACACCUACAAGCCUGCCUUUCCCCAAUCGGACUUCUGAGCCUCUCGUUCAGCACUACUGCAACUGCUGGGUCAAAUGUGAGCUUCGUGAAGGCGGCCACAGCACAACAGGACGGUUGGAGAGUCGCGGGGUGAAAUCCUCCUGUUGUCGGCGACCAUUUUGAACACUCGGCGUGCCGCUCGCACGUCGAAAUCGGCGUGUGUGAGAAUCUUCAGGCCGCAUACUUUCCUCUGCUAGUCCGUGCUUGUCUGCUCCUCAGAAUGCCCAUUAACACUCGCUUGCCCUCAGGUGAUGACCACCUGAGCCAUCAAGGACACGCCCCCUCCUGCUCCUCCCCCUGGCUGCGGGGUGGUUGGUGAAGGAGCCGCCUCUUUGAAGUAAACCCGCCCUGUUUUCCUGCAAGAGCCGCGCGUGACCGAUCAGAAUGUCGGACACACACCGACAGAGUGGGAACGUUGCUGUAUAAUUAGAGACUACACGCGGGGGAAAAUGAGCACAAAGGAAACAAAUCUGAGAACUUUUUUAAUUUUAUUGUUUACAUUUUUUUUUCAAAUUUGAGCACUUUAUAUAUGUCCUUUUUAAAAAAUUGAACAUAUUUUACAUAAAAUGUUUGUGUUUUUUACUCCAAAUUACUUUCGAAUUAAAAAUGGUACCCGUGUUCUUUUUAUGAUAAAAUUGUGGCCAAUGAG